UUGCUCUUCAACGAGGAAUUCCUAGUAAGCGCAAGUCAUCAGCUUGCGUUGACUACGUCCCUGCCCUUUGUACACGCCGCCCGUCGCUACUACCGAUUGAAUGGCUUAGUGAGGACUUGGGAGAGUACAUCGGGGAGCCAGCAAUGGCACCCUGACGGCUCAAACUCUUACAAACUUGGUCAUUUAGAGGAAGUAAAAGUCGUAACAAGGUAUCUGUAGGUGAACCUGCAGAUGGAUCAUUUCGAUGAAAACCUUUUUUUUCUUGAGGUGUGGCUCGCACCUGUCUAACUAAACUUGAGCUACCUUUUUUCAACACGGUUGCAUCGGUUGGCCUGUCAAACAGUGCGGCGGCGUGAAUUUUCACGUCUGCUUUGGCUGGGCGACGGACCGACACUUAAUCAACACUUUUGAUGAUCUAGGAUUUGAAUGAUAAAAGUUCAUUUUUACAAUGAAAUCGACUGGUAAUGCGGUCGUCUAAUUUUUAAAAACAACUUUUGGCAACGGAUCUCUUGGUUCUCCCAUCGAUGAAGAACGCAGCGAAUUGCGAUAAGUAAUGUGAAUUGCAGAAGUGAAUCAUCGAAUCUUUGAACGCACCUUGCGCUCCCGGCAGAUCUAAUCUGGGGAGCAUGCCUGUUUGAGGGCCGCGAAUUGUUUCGAACGACAACUUUUUCUUCUUUUUUUUGAAGAGUUGGCGGAUCGGUAUUGAGGGUUUUGCCAUUCACCGUGGCUCCCUCGAAAUGCAUUAGCGCAUCCAUUUGAUAGGCAAGACGGACGAAAGCUCGAUUUUCGCUCUCUCUUCCCUGCCGGGUUUUGAUAAUAUCAGGACUUCGGAGAGGUUGAGAUGGGUAAGAGCUGGACGCAACGGCUUGCUGUUUGGAGUGCUUCUGAAACCCGCCCAUAUCGAGCUUUGCCUCGGAAGGGAUUUUAAUAAUUCAUCGGCCUCAGAUUGGUAGGACUACCCGCUGAACUUAAGCAUAUCAAUAAGCGGAGGA
rnacentral:rRNA from 1 species